rnacentral:misc_RNA from 1 species
GAUGAAGAACGCAGCGAAAUGCGAUAAGUAAUGUGAAUUGCAGAAUUCAGUGAAUCAUCGAAUCUUUGAACGCACAUUGCGCCCGCCAGCAUUCUGGCGGGCAUGCCUGUUCGAGCGUCAUUUCAACCCUCGAGCCCCCCCGGGGGCCUCGGUGUUGGGGGACGGCACACCAGCCGCCCCCGAAAUGCAGUGGCGACCCCGCCGCAGCCUCCCCUGCGUAGUAGCACACACCUCGCACCGGAGCGCGGAGGCGGUCACGCCGUAAAACGCCAAACUUUCUUAGAGUUGACCUCGGAUCAGGUAGGAAUACCCGCUGAACUUAAGCAUAUCAAUAAGCGGAGGA